UAAUUGAAGAGUUUGAUCAUGGCUCAGAUUGAACGCUGGCGGCAGGCCUAACACAUGCAAGUCGAGCGGUAGCACAGAGAGCUUGCUCUCGGGUGACGAGCGGCGGACGGGUGAGUAAUGUCUGGGAAACUGCCUGAUGGAGGGGGAUAACUACUGGAAACGGUAGCUAAUACCGCAUAACGUCUUCGGACCAAAGUGGGGGACCUUCGGGCCUCAUGCCAUCAGAUGUGCCCAGAUGGGAUUAGCUAGUAGGUGGGGUAAAGGCUCACCUAGGCGACGAUCCCUAGCUGGUCUGAGAGGAUGACCAGCCACACUGGAACUGAGACACGGUCCAGACUCCUACGGGAGGCAGCAGUGGGGAAUAUUGCACAAUGGGCGCAAGCCUGAUGCAGCCAUGCCGCGUGUAUGAAGAAGGCCUUCGGGUUGUAAAGUACUUUCAGCGAGGAGGAAGGUGUUGUGGUUAAUAACCGCAGCAAUUGACGUUACUCGCAGAAGAAGCACCGGCUAACUCCGUGCCAGCAGCCGCGGUAAUACGGAGGGUGCAAGCGUUAAUCGGAAUUACUGGGCGUAAAGCGCACGCAGGCGGUUUGUUAAGUCAGAUGUGAAAUCCCCGGGCUCAACCUGGGAACUGCAUUUGAAACUGGCAAGCUUGAGUCUCGUAGAGGGGGGUAGAAUUCCAGGUGUAGCGGUGAAAUGCGUAGAGAUCUGGAGGAAUACCGGUGGCGAAGGCGGCCCCCUGGACGAAGACUGACGCUCAGGUGCGAAAGCGUGGGGAGCAAACAGGAUUAGAUACCCUGGUAGUCCACGCCGUAAACGAUGUCGACUUGGAGGUUGUGCCCUUGAGGCGUGGCUUCCGGAGCUAACGCGUUAAGUCGACCGCCUGGGGAGUACGGCCGCAAGGUUAAAACUCAAAUGAAUUGACGGGGGCCCGCACAAGCGGUGGAGCAUGUGGUUUAAUUCGAUGCAACGCGAAGAACCUUACCUGGUCUUGACAUCCAGAGAAUCCUGCAGAGAUGCGGGAGUGCCUUCGGGAACUCUGAGACAGGUGCUGCAUGGCUGUCGUCAGCUCGUGUUGUGAAAUGUUGGGUUAAGUCCCGCAACGAGCGCAACCCUUAUCCUUUGUUGCCAGCACGUAAUGGUGGGAACUCAAAGGAGACUGCCGGUGAUAAACCGGAGGAAGGUGGGGAUGACGUCAAGUCAUCAUGGCCCUUACGACCAGGGCUACACACGUGCUACAAUGGCGCAUACAAAGAGAAGCGACCUCGCGAGAGCAAGCGGACCUCAUAAAGUGCGUCGUAGUCCGGAUUGGAGUCUGCAACUCGACUCCAUGAAGUCGGAAUCGCUAGUAAUCGUGGAUCAGAAUGCCACGGUGAAUACGUUCCCGGGCCUUGUACACACCGCCCGUCACACCAUGGGAGUGGGUUGCAAAAGAAGUAGGUAGCUUAACCUUCGGGAGGGCGCUUACCACUUUGUGAUUCAUGACUGGGGUGAAGUCGUAACAAGGUAACCGUAGGGGAACCUGCGGUUGGAUCACCUCCUUA
rnacentral:rRNA from 1 species